rnacentral:rRNA from 1 species
UAAUCGCGGAUCAGAAUGCCGCGGUGAAUACGUUCCCGGGUCUUGUACACACCGCCCGUCACACCAUGGGAGUCGGGAAUGCCCGAAGUCAGUGACCCAACCCAAGGGAGGGAGCUGCCGAAGGCAGGCCUGGUGACUGGGGUGAAGUCGUAACAAGGUAAC